rnacentral:rRNA from 1 species
GUAGAGUUUGGUUGUAGCUGGCUCCUAAUUAAACUUGGGGGGCAUGUGCACACCUUUUCNCUUUCAUCCCAUACACACCUGUUGCACCUGUUGAGACAGAUGUUUUGUGGGGGGGAAGGAACUUUAUUGGACCUUCUACUCCCCCUUGACUUCUGUCUACUUAAUUCAUAUAAACUCAAUUUAUUUUAAAACGGAUGUNAUGGAUGUAACACAUCUAAUACUAAGUUUCAACAACGGAUCUCUUGGCUCUCGCAUCGAUGAAGAACGCAGCGAAAUGCGAUAAGUAAUGUGAAUUGCAGAAUUCAGUGAAUCAUCGAAUCUUUGAACGCACCUUGCGCUCCUUGGUAUUCCUUGGAGCAUGCCUGUUUGAGUAUCAUGAAAUCUUCAAAGUCAAACCUUUUGUUAAUUCANUUGGUUCUGCUUUGGUAUUGGAGGAUUAUUGCAGCUUCACACCUGCUCCUCUUUGUGCAUUAGCUGGAUCUCAGUGUUAUGCUUGGUUCCACUCAGCGUGAUAAGUUAUCUAUCGCUGAGGACACCCUGUUAAAAAGGGGUGGCCAAGGUAAAUGCAGAUGAACCGCUUCUAAUAGUCCAUUGACUUGGACAAUAUCUAAUUUAUGAUCUGAUCUCAAAUCAGGNAGGACUACCCGCUGAACUUAAGCAUAUCAAUAAGCGGAAGAA